rnacentral:lncRNA from 1 species
CUUCAAGUGACUUUCCCAAGGUCACACAGGCUAGUUAAAGGCAACAUUAAAACUCGAAUCCAAGUUCUUGUCUUCUAACCCUGGACUCUUUCUGGUAUACUCUGCUGUCUCCUUCAUCCUGGGGUUUUGGAUAAUUGAUGGCAUAGGCCAGGUGUUCAAUGGGCACCUGAAUAAUGCUUCUGUCUACGACUGACUCAAGUGGAAACAGGACAUUCUUAAAGAGGCCAUUAGAAAUCCCCAGACCUCCACUAAAGCAAGCCUAUAGAGCAUACCCUAAGGUCUCAGCCAAGCUCUCUGUGAAAACUCUGAGGAAUUUGGAUGUGAAAAAGGAUAACACAAGUGCUGGGAGUGGGGGGUGGUGCGUGAAACUUGGGUGUUGACUAUGAACUAAGACCUUCCUGAUCAACUUGGAAUAAAAUGUCACUCAGGACUGACUAAGGAAAGUCU